rnacentral:tRNA from 1 species
GGGGCUGUAGCUCAGUGGCAGAGCACUUGCCUGGCAUGUGUGAGGCACUGGGUUCGAUCCUCAGCACCA